CAAAGAAACGAACUAAUCAUUAAAUAUUUAUUUUAAAAUUAUUAUUUUAAAUAAGUUUCAAUAACAUGCAACCGGUAGAGGGCUUUUUUCUCAGCGGAAUCUUUAUGUGGUCAUUAGUGUUCUCGUUUUCAAGCCUCGUGUUUCGUAUCCGAGUAAAAGUGAGUCCUAAAUAAACGACAUGCAUGACCAUAAAUAUACUUCCCAUGUCGACAAAAAACUCAUGUCAUUUAGUGAAUUGCCCGUGUCUAUUAUAAAAUUAAAAGAAAUAGAUAGGAUAAAAUGUUUCAUGUAUGAUAAUCGCUAUUAUUUUUAUUUCUAACCUCCUUCGUACCCUACUAACCGCGCGUCAUUCUAUUUAAGUCAAGGAAGUGAUGAAUAACGUGCGAGUUUGACAUAAUUUUCUCAACGAGUGGGUCGAAUAUCAAGGUGUAAAUCCUAAUCUAAUGUAUGUGUUGUAUCUAAUGUAUUUGCUGCCUGAAAAUGUCCGAAAUUCUAAGCACGACCGUUAACCUAACGUUUAACUGUAUAAUUAUGGCGCAACUUGUCCGAAAAGAUUCUCUUUCUCUUCCCCUUCGUCGCUUCGUCAUUUUAUGAAUUAUGUACUAUGCGUACAGAUUUGACAUCCAGCUGUAAUGUCAUGAUCCUUCUUAUCUGCCAGGGGAUAAUAGUAAGUCUCGUUAAUGAGAGUUAUUAGCAAAUAAUACGAGGAUUCAUGAGCGUUUCUUUUAUGAAUACAAUAUCUACGUAAAUAGUUCUUUAACGAAGAAUGAAAUAAUGAUUAAAACGAAUGUUCUCGUUUAUUCUAUCUUUUUAUUAUUCUAUUCUUUUUUCAAAUUUAUAAUCCUUGAUAAAUCCUUGCAAAAUUGCAAGGCGUCGAAGGACUCGCUCGCUGUUUCGCUUCAGUUCAUGAUCGAGAAAAAUGAUCGUAUUUAUAUAAAUCAGCAAUUUGAUUAAUUUAAAGCGGUAAGCAGUGUGUCGAAUGUAUUCCAAUGAUAUUGUUUAUUUUUUACGCAGUAUAUUUGCAAAGUGGUAACGGUGGCAUAGCUACAAUGUAAUUAUAAAAUGUUGCAAUGGCAACCGGUGCAACGAACUCACGAAUUUUUUUUUUUUCACGUUGAACAAGAUAGAAAACUUUCUAAAAAUUAUUUGUACGCAAUAUUUUAUUGACCAGAAAUUCUCGAUGCUAUUGAGAAACGCUUAUGAUCUAAAGAAUGGUUUCAUUGAAAUUACAUAUAAUGAAUGAUACACACGUAAUGUAAUAAUUUUUCUUAAAUUAAAAAAUUUUUCAAUGAAACACUCGAUUACGAAUGAAAAUGAGUUAAAGAAACAAUGUAACGAGUCGUGAUGAGUUUUCACGACAUCUGGCCAUGGCGCAACGUAAGUUGGAUGGAAAUAGUAUUAUGUAAAAUCCGAGCAAAAAUUUCAACCACAUAGAAAAACUUUUGUUAAGAACCUCGAGGAUACCUACUUACCUACAGUACCGAGGAAUUGGACACCGACUUUGCCGAUUAGUCAAACUAUCGAUCGUUCUCAAAUUGUCGCUUCUCUUUUUUUGAUUCGUAGCUCGAAUUUAUCGGUUUAUAAUAUGAUGGCAAGUAUUUAUUUAUUUAUUUAAGCAUUGUCAAUUCUGAUUUGUAGAAAUCCGACAUAAGUCAAACUCAACUAAAUAUUUCUUUCUUUCGUAUUACCGACUCGUUCAAGAAUGAUGAUCAAAGAUAGGAAGCGUGGAAGCGAGUAAGAACAGCGGCUUAAAUCAUUAGCAACAAUAUAACGAUCGAUCAAGAGAGCUGACGUACGUACAAGCUGAAAAGAAGCCAGCGGCAAGUUGCAAUAGGGCCAAUUUCUCUUUAUCAAUGAUCGCCCUGUGGUUUUCUCCGUGGUCAUAGCAUAGUAUGUGUACAUGUAACACAUGGGACACGUUAUAUACUAGCCAAACGCAUAAACUGUUGCUGCGUGCGCGUACAAGUUCAAGAACAAUGGCAGUUCACGAUCUGUAUAAUGUAUGUAGUGGGUAUACACGAUUUUGCCAUGCGACGGUACUGGCUCAUUGUGGUGGCGGCGGCGGUGGCAGCGGGCAGCUCUCGUGCCACUGACCCACAAACAUACUUACCUAUGUUAUACUAUGCUGCUAUAUACAUCGUUCUGCCGUUGUCGCUAUGCUUUAAUGCCCGUACACACCGCGUUUCCGCCUCUCGAAACACGCUUGUGUACGUCGUCCUUGGAAGAUUUACUUGCGGACCUGAUUGCAAUCCUGAUGCUGGCUCGUGAAUUUUUCAUUCGAGACUUCAUGCACCACCGUGAACCGAAAGUAACCGCGUGUUCGAGCAACGAGGGCGGUAAUUUUACGGAUAGAAAGAAUUGGAUUUCCGUUGGAAAAGAGUAUCGUAUCAUGGCUCGAUGUGUUUUACUUACGGUUUCAUUUUACUUUGGCGCUUAUUAAAAAGUUGCGUUCUGGAAUGGUCGCUCUACGAUGAAGAUUAGAUCCUGCGUACAUUAAAAUUCUCAACGUUCGUGUAUCCGCGUUAUGCAUAUUGAUAUUGUAUACUUCACUCCUGACUUUGUGCGUUUCCAAUAAUUAUAUUAUACAUGAAUUUUAAAAAAAAGAAAACGGAAACCUAAAUUUUCAUAGGAAUGUACAAAAAUAACAGAUUAAUAUUUCAAAUUAGAAAAAUAUUUAAAAACUAUAUAACUCUUUAUUAUAGUAAAAAGUUAAAUGAUAUUCAAUAAUUAUAAAGAGGUUAUAUUAAAUUACAGGACAAAACUGGAAGAGCAAGGCUGAAAUCCUGCACGGAGUGGCGGAGAGCGGUGGACGAAAAAAGAGUUGAGUAGUCGAUUCGCUCGACUUUUUGCCAUCAUCGUCAUGAGGGGAAUCGUCACGAUGGAAGGAGAAAAUGGACAACCAUGGCUGCGUUGCAAAAUCGAAUGAGCAACUUCACUCCUGACUUUGUGCUCCAAUUGACCUGGCCAUUUGAGAGAACAAAAGCCUUUGAUGGAUCACGGGGCCCGGUAUAAUCGCACAUGACAUUGCGAAGAAGUGGAAGAAGAGAAAAAAGGGAGACAUAUUGUUGUUAUUAAAUUUUUAAAUACGCAGAUAGUAGCCAUUGGACUGUAAUAAUGUAUCUAUUAGUCAUGUAUAAUCAUAUUAUAUAUGAAUUUUUAAAAAAAGAAAACGCGCUUAAAUUUUCAUAGAAGUGUAUAAAAAUAUCAGAUUAAUAUUUCAAAUUGGAAAAAUGUUUAAAAAUUAUAUAACUCUUUAUUGUAGUAAAAAGUUAAAUGAUAUUCAAACAAUUUGUUAUAAAGAAAAGAAUUUAUAUAUCAAAUUAUAGGUGAGUCC